UUUGGUGACAAAGACGAGAGGGAAACACCUGUAACCAUACCGAACACAGAAGUUAAGCCUUUCAGUGCUGAUGGUACUUGAGUGGAAACGCUCUGGGAGAGUAGGACGUUGCCAGAU
rnacentral:rRNA from 1 species